GAGCGUUAAUCGGAAUUACUGGGCGUAAAGCGUGCGCAGGCGGUUUUGUAAGACAGGCGUGAAAUCCCCGGGCUCAACCUGGGAACUGCGCUUGUGACUGCAAGGCUAGAGUACGGCAGAGGGGGGUGGAAUUCCACGUGUAGCAGUGAAAUGCGUAGAGAUGUGGAGGAACACCAAUGGCGAAGGCAGCCCCCUGGGUCGAUACUGACGCUCAUGCACGAAAGCGUGGGUAGCAAACAGGAUUAGAUACCCUGGUAGUCCACGCCCUAAACGAUGUCAACUAGGUGUUGGGUGGGUAAAACCAUUUAGUACCGUAGCUAACGCGUGAAGUUGACCGCCUGGGGAGUACGGCCGCAAGGUUAAAACUCAAAGGAAUUGACGGGGACCCGCACAAGCGGUGGAUGAUGUGGAUUAAUUCGAUGCAACGCGAAAAACCUUACCUACCCUUGACAUGUCAGAAACUUGGCAGAGAUGCCUUGGUGCCCGAAAGGGAAUCUGAACACAGGUGCUGCAUGGCUGUCGUCAGCUCGUG
rnacentral:rRNA from 1 species